rnacentral:miRNA from 1 species
UCUCUCUCUCUCUCUCUCUCUCUCUCCUGUGUGUGUGUGUGUGUGUGAGAGAGAGAGAGAGAGAGAGAGAGAGA